rnacentral:snRNA from 1 species
GAAUAUGGGGGUGAUCUAGCUGCAACAACUGCCACCCCAUUGAUUGCUAGGGUUGAUGUGGGCUAUCUGGCUGACUAGGCAGAUGCCCCCUUCCUCCAUCACUGCUUCCUGUGCCUCCUCCUGAAUCUGUGNACUUUAUGGAAGACAGUGAUUAUCUCAAACAGGAGUGCACUGGACUUUGGUCAAGGGUGUACUAUUGUACUCUCACACUUUGUAUGGAUGUUGGUGGAGUGAACAAGUACUUCUGAGCAACAGCUUCCAAAUCCAGCCAGAUUUGGCAGUGCUUU